rnacentral:rRNA from 1 species
AGUGAACGCUGGCGGUAGGCCUAACACAUGCCAGUCGAACGGCAGCACAGUAAGAGCUUGCUCUUACGGGUGGCGAGUGGCGGACGGGUGAGGAAUACAUCGGAAUCUACUUUUUCGUGGGGGAUAACGUAGGGAAACUUACGUUAAUACCGCAUACGACCUACGGGUGAAAGCAGGGGAUCUUCGGACCUUGCGCGAUUGAAUGAGCCGAUGUCGUAUUAGCUAGUUGGCGGGGUAAAGGCCCACCAAGGCGACGAUCCGUAGCUGGUCUGAGAGGAUGAUCAGCCACACUGGAACUGAGACACGGUCCAGACUCCUACGGGAGGCAGCAGUGGGGAAUAUUGGACAAUGGGCGCAAGCCUGAUCCAGCCAUACCGCGUGGGUGAAGAAGGCCUUCGGGUUGUAAAGCCCUUUUGUUGGGAAAGAAAAGCAGCAGGUUAAUACCCCGCUGUUCUGACGGUACCCAAAGAAUAAGCACCGGCUAACUUCGUG